UACGUAGGGUGCGAGCGUUAAUCGGAAUUACUGGGCGUAAAGUGUGCGCAGGCGGCAGAGCAAGUCGAGUGUGAAAGCCCCGGGCUUAACUUGGGAAUUGCGCUCGAAACUACUUUGCUGGAGUGUGGCAGAGGAAGGUGGAAUUCCACGUGUAGCGGUGAAAUGCGUAGAGAUGUGGAGGAACACCAGUGGCGAAGGCGACUUCCUGGCCUGUUCUUGACGCUGAGGCGCGAAAGCUAGGGGAGCAAACGGG
rnacentral:rRNA from 1 species